rnacentral:lncRNA from 1 species
GCAACCUCCGCCUCCCAGGUUCAAGCAAUUCUCCUGUCUCAGCCUCCCAAAUAGCUGGGAUUACAGGUGCGUACCACCAUGCCCAGCUAAAUUUUGUAUUUUUGGUAGAGACGGGGUUUCACCGUGUUGGCCAGGCUGGUCUCAAACUCCUAACCUCAGGUGAUCCGCCCGCCUCGGCCUCCCAAAGGGCUGGGAUUACAGACGUGAGCCACCGCGCCUGGCCUGAAAUUGUUUAAAUUAAAAUUAAAAUUAACACUCUAGAUAAAAUUCAAGUCUCCUUUGAUGUCCCCAAGUUCUAUUCCCCCUUCCUUCUCUUUCAGGAGUUUCCCAUCUUUUCAGUAUG